rnacentral:rRNA from 1 species
AAUCAACGUUGGCGGCGCGCCUAACACAUGCAAGUCGAACGAGAAAGUGGAGCAAUCCAUGAGUAAAGUGGCGUACGGGUGAGUAACACGUGGGUAAUCUGCCUGUUAGUGGGGAAUAACCCUGGGAAACCGGGGCUAAUACCGCAUAAGUUCGUAAGAAGAAAGUCGCAAGACGCUGACAGAGGAGCCCGCGGCCGAUUAGCUAGUUGGCAGGGUAAAAGCCUACCAAGGCGACGAUCGGUAGCCGGCCUGAGAGGGUGAUCGGCCACACUGGAACUGAGACACGGUCCAGACUCCUACGGGAGGCAGCAGUAAGGAAUAUUGGUCAAUGGAGGGAACUCUGAACCAGCCAUCCCGCGUGAAGGAUGAAGGGGCUCUGCCUUGUAAACUUCUUUUGCAUGGGACGAAAAAACUUAAUUUAUUAAGGACUGACGGUACCAUGACGAAUAAGCACCGGCUAACUCCGUG